UCGAGGGCCGGAGGGAGGUGGAGGUGCCGUGGUCCAACUGCUGAGGAGUCUCCAUGUGACAGUGAGCGGCGUCCCGGCUCCAGGCGACGCCAGAUUCUGGUUCCCGACCCCAAGCCCCGUCCACUGUCCCGGCGCCAGCAGACACUGGCAGGUCGGGGGCCGCGGGCGCAGAGUGAGUAGCCACCGCCAGGCAGGUGCCUGAGGGACCGUCUAGACCCCGACGUCUCCCGAGAGGCGAGCGGCGCGGCCAGCGGGGCUUCUGUCAGCGCGGUGCCGUGAGCGCGGGGACAUGAACGGCUUCACGCCCGAGGACAUGAGCCGCGGUGGGGACGCGGCCGCCGCCGUGGCCGCCGUGGUCGCCGCUGCCGCCGCCGCCGCCGCCGCCUCAGCCGGGAACGGGGCCGGAGCGGGCGCCGGGGCCGAGAUGCCGGGCGCCGGUGGGGUCUCGGCGGCGGGGCCCCCGGGAGCGGCCGGGCCGGGCCCGGGGCAGCUGUGCUGUCUGCGCGAGGACGGCGAGCGGUGCGGCCGGGCGGCGGGCAACGCCAGCUUUAGCAAGAGGAUCCAGAAGAGCAUCUCCCAGAAGAAGGUGAAGAUUGAGUUGGAUAAAAGCGCAAGGCAUCUUUACAUUUGUGAUUAUCAUAAAAACUUAAUUCAGAGCGUUCGAAACAGAAGAAAGAGAAAAGGGAGUGAUGAUGAUGGAGGAGAUUCACCUGUUCAAGAUAUUGAUACUCCAGAGGUUGAUUUAUACCAAUUACAGGUGAAUACACUUAGGAGAUACAAAAGACACUUCAAACUCCCAACCAGACCAGGACUUAAUAAAGCCCAGCUUGUGGAGAUAGUUGGUUGCCACUUUAGGUCAAUUCCAGUGAAUGAAAAAGACACCUUAACAUAUUUCAUCUACUCAGUGAAGAAUGACAAGAACAAGUCAGAUCUCAAGGUUGAUAGUGGUGUUCACUAGGAGAGAUGGAAUUGAGAGAUUAGUACCUAAUCCCAGCAAAUAAAAAUAUUCAAGGAGUCCCUAUGGAUUAUGAUGAGGAAAAGAAAAAUUUUAUCAAGAAGAGAUGAGCUAUUAGAUGAUUCUCAGUGAUUGUUGCAAGGAAUCACGAAAGAGAUCUUUGGUCCAAAGAAGACAUCUCUGAAAGAGAGCAGAACAUGAAUUAAAUCCAGCUGAAAGUUAAGAUAUAUGUUAGACUUUUCUGAGCAAGAAAUGGACGCUGAUUUCCAGGAUUUCAGAUAUGACUAUUCUUUUUAGGUGAAUAAAGUACAAAGAGUGGGAGGACUUUUGCCACAAGAGCAGCAAAGACCAAGAAGGUAAUCAGUUCUUCUACUUUCCCCCAUCUGCCGUGGACAUUAUGCUGUCAUUUGUCUAUAAAGAGUAGGAAAUAUUGGGUGAUUUCAAAACCUUACAAGCAUACCAAAAUAUUCAUUUCUCUGAUAUGGGUGGGGAUAGGCCAUGAAGUUUAAAUCUACAACUAAGAAACAAGAUUAAAAAUUUGUUAGGAAGUCAAUAAGUAAAUUUCUAGGUUUUAUAGGGAAAGGUGAAAUUUUGAGCUACUCAACUCUAUCCACUCUUGUUGGAAAGAUCACAUAAGGUGAUGUAUAAUAAAAAUGAACGGUAUAAUAUGUGUAUAUGUGCAAGGUAGUAUUAUGAUUAUGGCUCAUUAGAAAUAUAAUUAGCAUGCAAUGUACAACAUGAUGACUGUAGCUAACACUGUUGUAUGAUAUAUUUGAAAGUUGCUAAGAGACUAGAUCCUACAGGUUAUCACGAGGAAAAAAAAUUGUAACUAUAUGAGGUGAUUCGUGUUAACUAAACUUAUUAUGGUAACCAUUUCACAAUACAGUUGACCCUUGAACAAUGCAGCAGUAAGGGGUGCUGAGCCUCUGUGCAAUGGAAAAUCCGUGCAUAACUUUACAGUCAGUCUUCCAUAUUUGUGGUUCAACAUCCGAGGAUUCAACCAACCAUAGAUGGGAUAGUACUGUGGUAUGUAUUAUGUUUAGUGAAAGAAAUUUGCGGAUAAGUGGACCCAUGCAAUUCAAACGUGUGUUGUUCACAGGUCAGCUGUAUGUGUAUGUCAACUCAUUGUGCUGUAUACCUUAAACUUAUACAGUGCUGUAUUUAAUUAUAUUCAAUGCAACUGAAAAAAUAGAAUGGCAAAAUAAAAUUUGUGUUUAUAGGUAAAAAAAAAAAAAAAAAAAAAGAAAUAUACUUAGAUAUUUGUUGCUACUGGGAAAACUGUAACCCAAAAUCAGAUAGAAAUUAUUUUCAUAUAUCCAUACUUCUAGCUCAUUCAUUAACAAUGGAUAGUCAAAAAUUAUAUCAUAAAGUAAGUACAUUUCAAUAAAUUAGUUUCAAGUCUUAACAAAAAAGUAAACAUGAUAUUUUAAUAUUAGAUGGCGUUUCAUUUAUGUAGGAGAAGUUAAAUCAUCUUAUGGAAUCAGUUAACUUGAGUUUUUGAUAUCAUUGUUUAAUCAAGUGAUUCUCAAAUUUUAUUAUGCAUCAGAAUCACUUGGAGCGUUUAAGCCAUAAUUGCUGUGCUUCCUCUCCAUUGUUUCUGAUUCAUUUGGUUUGAUCUGGGGCCCAGGGAUGAACUACGUUUUUAACAAGAACUCAGGUAAUGUUGAAGCUGCUGUUCUGGGAACCAUACUUAAGAACCAACUGGCUUGGUAGAAAAAAUACCCAGACCAAAUCAGAAGACCUGUGUUCUAGUCUCAGUGCUGAUAUUAGCUAGUUUGCGGGAUGGUGGUCAUUUUACCUCUCUACACCUUUCUUUGAUAAGAUGGUUAUAUCUGCCCUUUCUAGCUCACAGAUUUCUUAGAAAAAUGAAAAAUAUGAUGAUAUGUUGAAAGUAAUUUGAAAAAGCUGAUUUCAAUAUGAAGUAGCCAAGAUCAUAGUAUUUGAGCUUCCUCAAUAACCAGGAGAAGAUUAUUUUAAAAUCAAGAGCUAUAAAUAUUUAUUUACUUAUCUACCUUUGUAUUAUACUUAAAAUACAUCUACUUUCCAAGUCAGUGGACAAUCUGUAUUCAGUUAAUUUCUGGUUAACUCAUACACAGAGCUAGAAAGUUUUUCUUUCACCAUUACCAAACUUUUCCAUCCAGUUACUUCAUCUAUUCACUGGGGUCUUUUAUCUAAAGCCUUUUAUUAGUUUUCAAAUUAGUUUAAGAUGUCAGCCUUGAAGGUGACUUCAGCUACCAGAAGAUUUUUUGUGUGUGUGGUUAAAAAUCAGAUAGGAAAUUCAGAAUUUAAUAGAUUGGAGUGUUGUUAAUUUCCUGUAUCUCAUUUAGUUUUACUAAAAUCUGCCAAACUCUGUCUCUUAAAUGAAAACUUUCAUUUUGGUACAUAAUGGUGAUGAUCCUAAAAAAUAGCUGAGGGGCUUCCCUGGUGGCGCAGUGGUUGCGCGUCAGCCUGCCGAUGCAGGGGAACCGGGUUCGCGCCCCGGUCUGGGAGGAUCCCACAUGCCGCGGAGCGGCUGGGCCCGUGAGCCAUGGCCGCUGGGCCUGCGCGUCCGGAGCCUGUGCUCCGCAAUGGGAGAGGCCACAGCAGAGGGAGGCCCGCAUACCACAAAAAAAAAAAAAAAAAAAAAAAAAAAAAAAAAAAUAGCUGAGAUUUGAACAGGGUUUUACUGAAAAGGGUGAUUAAUUUUAGCACACUCAUUAUGAAGUUGUCUUAAGAAAGAGUUGUUGUACAUACACUUCACAGCAAUAUGUUUUGUGAUUGCAUUUCCUUACUUUGGGCAGCAGAGCAAUUCACUGAAGUUGCAGUAACAGAUCAUCUCACAUCCCUUCCCAUCCCAGAAGUGAUCCUGGACGUUUACAUCAAUCUUUGUCAGGUUUAAAUCCUUCUGGAGUCGCUGAGGGUAGGGUGUGGAGAGAAGCAGCAGCCAGUUUCAACCUUUGCAGGCUCCUCCCAGGAGAGAAGGAGGACCUGUUUUAUUGACACUUAGGAAAACUUACUCCACCAAGGAGCCUCCAGUGAAGCCCUUGAGGAGACAGCAUUAUUAAUCACCAAGGGGCUGUCACCUACGAUGUCAAGCUGAUGCUGCUGCAGCUGUAGGAAGGGACCUGCUUCCCAGAGGCCCUCGUACUGGAAUUAGGAUGCACUUGGGAACUGGCAGGAUGCCAGACAGGCAGCCGUGGCUGUAACGGGGCUCAUGGCGGGGAUCUUCUUGCUCAGAAACUUUUCAUCAGAAGAGCAAACACAUGACCUCCUUUACCUGGGCACGGACAAUGGGGGAACUGAGGCCCCAAAAGAUGAGACAGCUUGGCCAAGAUCACCCAGCUGUCCUAGAAUCAGCCAUGUCCUCAAGGAAUGCUGGUUCCUUUUAUUGGAGAAUGGAUUGGAAACACAGACCCAGGCACUAGAUGGACUCACUGCCACUGGAGUGUCAUAACUUCUGGGCCCUCUCUGCUGAUGGAGCUGGGAAAUAUAGAAUCCGAGUGACUUGUGCUGAUUGGACCAGCAAGGCUGAAGUGUAAAAUAUCCUGCAUCAGGAAAGCUUCAGCAGUUUAUGCUGGGCUUCCCUGGUGGCUCAGUGGUUAAGAACCCGCCUGCCAAUGCAGGGGACACAGGUUCAAGCUCUGGUCCAGGAAGAUCCCACAUGCCGCAGAGCAACUAAGCCCGUGCGCCACAACUAUUGAGCCUGCACUCUAGAGCCCGCGAGCUACAACUGCUGAGUCCACGUGCCACAACUACUGAAGCCCGUGUGCCUAGAGCCCGUGCUCCACAACAAGAGAAGCCACCGCAAUGAGAAGCCCGUGCACCGCAAUGAAGAGUAACCCCCGCUCGCCGCAUCUAGAGAAAAGCCCACACGCAGCAACAAAGACCCAACGCGGCCAAAAAUAGAUUAAUUAAUUUUAAAAAGAAACAGUCUGGAGAAGCAGCAAGACGGAACAAGACAUUGACCCCCUAACUCUUCUUGCCUUGUUCCCCGAAUACUCUCAAUUAUGCCAGUACAGGUAGCCUGUUCUUAUUCCUGUUUCACCGACGGACAAGAAUUCUGACCCCAAGAGAAUGAAAAUAUUCUGAGGAGCAAGCUUGAAGGUAACUAAGUAAAUUCAACCUAUUCCAACUGUUAUUUUUGGUUUGCAUUUGCCAGGUGAAUUGCCAUGACACAUGUGGUAAUGAUUCCUUAUCUUUACAUUUGCAUGUUGUUUGUUGUUAAAAAGUAGGAUCCUUGUUCGAAAAAGUUGAGGAAAUUGUUGGACUUCACCCUUUUGUUUUUGUUCUGCAGGAAUUAGAUUUUGUUCUUUGUGUGUAUGUUUACAUUUGUCUUGCAUAUAAGUAUGCCAGCUAUGAGAUCUCUAUCUGGAUAUAUGUAUGUUUCAUUAUGAUUAGGUGUCUUUGUCUUUGGAUAGUAUUGCUGAGGUUAACUUGUAAAUGAGCUCUAUUUAAUAGACUUAAAGGUAAAAUAAACGCUUACAAAUUAAAUACUACUAUUUAUAAAACAGGCUAAAAUGAACUUCAGGUCCUCAUGAUCUGGGAAAUAUUCAGUAUGGAAUUGAUAUCUGGUAUUGAAGCUAGCUUAAGCUUGUUGGUUUGACUAACGCAGACAUGUCUUUUAGAAAAUUCAAACUAUUUAGGAUAAAUCGUAUAACCAGCAAUAGAAAUUUCUGGUAAGCGUUUCCGAAAAAUAAGUAUAAAUUGUGAGAGAUGCCUUUAACAUUACCUACUUAGGAUGCUUUUAAAUGCUUGUAAAAGAAAACACAACUAAAAGUAUCUUAAACAAUUACGACUAAUUCCUAAUGGUUCCAGCAUAGAUUCAGUCAGUGAAUCAGUGACAUCAAGGAUCCAGGUUCUUGCCAUAUUUUCCUCGGCCAUUCUUACAUGUCAGUUUUGUCCUCAGAUUUGUUCCCUCAUGAUCUUAAGACAGCUUCCACGGCACCAGUCCUCAUCCAACAAUGACCAGAUUCAGGAAAGUAUGAACCUUUUGUCCCUUUCAAGAGCAAAGGAAACCCAAAAGUUCCCUUAUUUGCCUUCACAGUUCCUAAGCAAGGUUGCACCUGUAUUAAAUCAAAUAUUGCCAAGAAGAAAAGGAAUUACACCAGGAUUGCCUUAACCUAAUCCUCAUUCACCCACUGGGGCUAAGGAGGGACCAAGGAAAAUCAUGGGCCUAAUAACUGAACAGUAUUGGGGUUCUCUUGGCAAGGAAGUAUGAAGGGAAUUGUUGGUGUGGUCAAUACAGACAUGUCUUUUAUUGUGCCUGGGUUUACUGAGGGUGAAUGGGUUUAUGUUGUUUCUAUUGCACAGUCUGUCAACAGAAAAAAAAAUUGGUAUGAUGAAAUUCUUAUAAGUAAAUUAGAUGCAAAUAGGAUGAGAGCUUUUGGGUGACCUCUUUAGAAAUGGCUUAUGAUUUGGGAAUGUCUACUUAAGGGUGGUCCCUCCAGAUAUUUGGUAACUUAAAUUUACUUAAAUUUUAGAGUUGUGCUAGUCUGGGUUGGAUGAUGGGGGAUUACUGAAUAGCUAGGUCAUUCCCAGGCAGAGUACUGAAACAUUAAGCACUGAACAUAGAAGCUAAAGGUGUUUGGGACUAUGUUUGGUGCCACACUGAGAUAUUUUCUAUAAAAAGCAGAUGUUUUUAAAAAUUAUUAUUGUUGUUUGCCAACCUACAGAAUGCUAAAGGACAGUUAAUAAUUGAGUGCUUCUUGGUUUUCACUAGAAAUUAAGGGGUUUUUUUAGAGCUUUGGAUUCAAAUUUAAAUAUGUAAUUAAAGCUACUAAAAUAAUAAAGGAAACAUUUCAGUAUACAGCAGGAAAGUAGGAUAUAUGUUUUUUUAAAAGGGAGUUUUACACAUGGUUGGGCUGAGAUUAGGUUAAACUUAAUUAAGUAAAUGGAUUUUGUUAUUAAAUAUAGGCUGGGGCAAGACUAGAUUUGGUCCCUCUCUACUAAGGGAACAAGUUUACUUAGAAUGCUGCUUUUGAUAACAGAUUAUGUGAACUUCCUUGCCUUUAAGUGAUCUAUAUUUGCUUCUGAGAUCUCUUCUCACUUUGCUUAAGAAACAAGUAUUGUCUUACAGUAACCUGUGAUCUUAUUUGACCAAGUGUUUUGAAACUUUUUGACGAACUUCCCAAAUAUCAAAUUUUAAUUAAAAUUCUUUUGCCCUCCAGCUAACUUUGUGAUGCUUCUAAGGGCCCUUGACGCAUCUUAGAGAGAAGUAUUUAACUCGUAUUUUUUGGUAUGUUGAAUUACACGGGAAGCAUUGUCAAGUGGGUGAUAAGCCUCCUCAGAUUAUACAGUACAGAUAAAUAUUAUUAAUGUAGAUAUUCUAGAAAUUAUGUAAAGUUUCUGAAAUGUAGAUAUGUCCUGGUAUAAUGCUAUCAGUCAUAAUUCUAUCUUAAAAUGUUGUAUAUCGCAGCAACUUGACUAAGCUUUUUUGUUAACACACUGUAAUCAGAUCUUUAACCUUGCCUUUUAAAGUCUUUAACAGACAGUUAAGCUGAUGCUUUGCAAAACUGCUUCAUCUUCAAGAAGAUUCACAGGAAGGACUAAUAAAUUUCAGAUUGUAUACUACCUUUUUUUUUUUUUUUUUUUUUUUUUGCUGCACGACAUGGCAAUAUUAAGUUGUGAUCUUAAUUCCCCGACCAGGGAUUGAACCCGUGCCCCCUGCACUGGAAGUGCAGUGUCUUAACCACUGGAUCACCAGGGAAGUCCCUCAGAUUAUACUGCUGAACUGGGUAAGAAAUUAAAAACCCUAAUGGAAAUCCUGAUGGCUUCAUAAAAAGUUAACAAAAGGAUUGGUUACUAAGUGAACUGGUGAAUACGGUUAUAAUGUUUAUGGGUUUUGUCUGGAAUAUAACUGAUUUUGCUUUGUGUUUUCCAGAUAUAGGGAAGCACUUCCCCUCAAGUUACUCAUGACUGACAGCAAUUUGGUAAAUUUAUACCUUGCUGAGUAAAACUGAAAUAGUUUUCUUUUCUCUCUGGCUGGUCCCUCCAGAAACUGGAGAUCCUUGGGUUCUGAGCAGCCUUAUCAGCGUCAGCUGGAAUAUGUUACAUUCCAUCCCAGGAAGGGAAUCCAAGGGAACAAUUCCCAGCAUGCAACUGUUCAGUCUGCAGAGUGAAAAACCUCCAAGUCCUUUCUUUACUGCUCAUAAUAUUUUUCCAUCAUCUUCCAACUGGGGAGAUAUAGUCAAAUGGGAAAAUAAGGAUUGGAACAUACAUUAUACAGUUUUGGAACCAACACGGUGUUGGUGUCAGGAGAGACCAAGAUUCCAAUCAGAAGGCAAGGCACUGUGCCAGACACAGGGUGUUCAGAUGCCAAAGGAGAGAAACCCAUUCCUGUCAGCCAGGAACUUACUGUCUAGUAGUUUCAGAUUGGAGGUAGAGACAAGAUAGUGGAGUGGAAGGACUUGAGCUCACCUCCUUUCAUGUAAACACCAAAAUCACAACUAACUGCUCAAAACCAGUGACAACAAAGACUGCAACCUACCCCAAAAGAUAUUCUUCACCUAAAGACAAAGAAGAAGCCACAAGAUGGUAGGAGGGGCACUUUCACAGUAUAAUCAAAUCCCAUACCCACCGGGUGGGCAACUCACAAACUGGAAAAUAAUUAUAUUGCAGAGGUUUUCCCACAGGAGUGAGAGUUCUGAGCCCCAUGUCAGGCUCCCCAGCCUGGGAAGAGCCCCUAGAGCAUUUGGCUUUGAAGGCCAACAGGGCUUGAGUGCAGGAGCGCCACAGGACUGGGGGAAACAGAGGCUCCACUCUUGGAGGGUGCACACAAGGUUUCACAUGCACUGGGAUCCAGGGCAAAGCAGUGACUCCAUAGGAGCCUGGGCCAGACCUACCUGUGGGUCCUGGAGGAAGGGAUUGGCUGUGGCUCACUGUGGGGGGAAGGACACUGGUGGUGGAGGCCCCAGGUAAUAUUCAUAGGCGUGAGCUCUCCUGGAGGUCGCCAUUUUUGCACCGAGACCUGGCUCCACCCAACAGCCCGCAGGCUCCAGUGCUGGAACGCCUCAGGCCAGACAACCAACGGGGGUGGGGGGACACAGCCCCACCCAUCAACAGACAUGAUGCCUAAAGUCGUGUCCUGAGCCCACAGCCACCUCUAAACACACCCUUGACAAGGCCCUGCCCACCAGAGAGACAAGACCUAGUUCUACCCACUAGUGGGCAGGCAUCAGUCCCUCACACCAGGAAGCCUACAAAAGCCCCUGGACCAACCUACCCACCAGGGGACAUACACCAGAAGCAAGAGGAACUACAAUCCUGAAACCUGCAGACUGGAGACCACAAACACAGAAAGUUAGACAAAAUGAGAUUGCAAAGAAAUAUGUUCCACAUGAAGGAAAAAGAUAAAAUGCCAGAAGAACAACGAAGUGAAGUGGAGAUAGGCAAUCUGUCUGAAAAAGAAUUCAGAGUAAUGAUGGUAAACGUGAUCCAAGAUCUCGGAAAAAGAAUGGAGGAACAGACCAAGAAGAUACAAGAAAUGUUUAACAAAGAGCAAGAAGAUUUAAAGAACAAACAGAGAUGAACAAUACGAUAAUUGAAAUGAAAAAUAUACUAGAAGGAAUCAAUAGCAGAAUUAAUGAGGCAGAAGAAUGAAUAACUGAGCUGUAAGACAGAUUGGUGGAAAUCACUACCGUGGAACAGAAUAAAGAAAAAAGAAUGAAAAGAAAUGAGGACAGUCUGAGAUACCUCUGGGACAAAAUUAAAUGCACCAACAUUUGCAUUAUAGGGGUCCCAGAAGGCGGAAAGAGAGAGAAAGGACAUGAGAAAAUAUUUGAAGAGAUUAUAGCCAAACACUUCCCUAACAUGAGAAAGGAAAGACUCAAGUCCACAAAGCACAGAGUCCCAUACAGGAUAAACCCAAGGAGGAACAUGCCAACACACAUAUUAAUCAAAAAUAACAAAAUAAACUACAAAGAGAAAACAUUAAAAUCAACAAGGGAAAAGCAACAAAUAAUAUACAAGGGAAUCCCCAUAAGGUUAUCAGCUGAUUUUUCACCAGAAACUGCAGGCCAGAAGGGAGUGGCAGGAUGUAUUACCAGCUUUACAACAAAUGCUACAGGAACUUCUCUAGGUGGAAAAGAAAAGGCUACAAGUAGAAACAAGAAAAUUACGAAUGGGAAAGCUCACCAGUAAAGGCAAACACACCGUAAAGACAGGACAUCAUCCACACACAAAAAUGAUCUCAAAAGCAGCAAUCGUGAGGGCAGUACAAAUGCAGGAUAUUGGAAAUGCAUUUGAAAUUAAGAGACCAGUAACUUAAAACAAUCUUGUAUAUAUAAAGACUGCUAUAUCAAACCUCAUAGUAACUGCAAACCAAAAAUCUACGAUACCCACACGAAAAAGAAAAAGCGAUCCAAACACUAAAGACAGUCAUCAAACCAAAAGUGAAGAGAAGAAAAGAGGAAGGAAAGAAAAGAGACCUACAAAACAAAUCCAAAACAAUUAACAGAAUGGCGAUAAGAACAUACAUAUCAGUAAUUAUCUUAAAUGUAAACAUAUUAAAUGCUCCAACUAAAAAACACAGACUGGCUGAAUGGAUACAAAAACAAGACCCGUAUAUAUAUGCUGUCUACAAGAGACCCACUUCAGAUCUAGGGACACAUACACAGUGAAAGUGAAAGGAAGGAAAAAGGUAUUCCAUGCAAAUGGAAAUCAAAAGAAAUUUGGGAGAGCAAUAUUCAUAUAAGACAAUAUAUACUUUAAAAUAAAGACUGUUACAAGAGACAAAGAAGGACACUUCAUAAUGAUCAAGGGAUCAAUCCAAAAAGAUAUAACAAUUGUCAAUACAUAUGCAUCCAACAUAGGAGCACCUCAAUAUAUAAGGCAAAUAUUAACAGCCAUAAAAGGAGAAAUUGGGGCUUCCCUGGUGGCACAGUGGUUGAGAGUCCGCCUGCCGAUGCAGGGGACGCGGGUUCAUGCCCCGGUCCGGGAGAAUCCUGCAUGCCACAGAGCGGCUGGGCCGGUGAGCCAUGGCCGCUGAACCUGUGCGUCCGGAGCCUGUGCUCCACAACGGGAGAGCACAUGGCAGUGAGAGGCCCGCAUAACGCAAAAAAAAAAAAAAAAGGAGAAAUUGACAGUAACACAAUAAUACUGGGGGACUUUAACAGCCCACUUACAUCAAUGGACAGAUCAUCCAGACAGAAAAUCAAUAAGGAAACAUGGGCCUUAAAUGACACAUGAGACCACAUGGACUUAAUUAUGGAGCAUUCCAUUCGAAAGCAACAGAAUACACAUUCUUCUCAAGUGCACAUGGAACAUUCUCCAGAAUGGAUCACAUGCUGGGCCACAGAGCAAGCCUCAGUAAAUUUAAGAAAACUGAAAUCAUAUCAAUCAUCUUUUCCGACCACAACACUAGAUUCGAAAUCAACUGCAAGAAUAAAACUGUAAAAAAACACAAACCCGUGGAGGCUAAACAAUAUGUUACUAAACAACAAACGGAUCACUGAAGAAAUCAAAGAGGAAAUCAAACAAUAUCUAGAGACAAAUGAAAAUGUAAAAAAGAUGAUCGAAAACCUAUGGUAUGCAGCAAAAGCUGUUCUAAGAGGGAAGUUUAUAGCAAUACAAUCUUACCUUAGGAAACAAGAAAAAUCUCAAAUAAACAACCUAACCUUACACCUAAAGCCACUAGAGAAAAAAGAACUAACAAAGCCCAAAGUUAGUAGAAGGAAAGAAAUCAUAAAGAUCAGAGCAGAAAUAAAUGAAAUCGAGACAAAAUAGAAAAGAUCAAUGAAACUAAAAGCUGGUUCUUUGAAAAGAUAAUAAAAUUGAUAAACCUUUAGCCAGACCCAUCAAGAAAAAGAGGGAGAGGGCUCAAAUCAAUAAAAUUAGAAAUGAAAAAGAAGUUACAACAGACACUACAGCAAUACAAAGGAUCACAGGAGACUACUACAAGUACCUAUACUCCAAUAAAAUGGACAACCUAGAAGAAAAGGACAAAUUCUUAGAAAGGUACAACCUUCCAAGACUGAACCAGGAAGAAGUGGAAUAUAUGAACAGACCAAUCACAAGUACUGAAAUUGAAACUGUGAUUAGAAACUCCCAACAAAUGAAAGCCCAGGACCAGAUGGCUUCACAGGCGAAUUGUAUCAAACACUUAGAGAAGAGUUAACACCUACCCUUCCAAAACUCUUCCAAAAAACUGAAGAGGAAGGAACACUCCCAAGCUCAUUCUACGAGGCCACCAUUACCCUGAUACCAAAACCAGACAAAGAAACCACAAAAAAAGAAAAUUACAGGCCAAUAUCACUGAUGAACAUGGACGCAAAAAUCC